UGUCCUCCAUCGGAGGUCUAUAUUGAGCAGAUUCUUUUUGGUAUUGGGUGGUGGAACCGGAGCGCGCUCCAUCCCCUCCAUGCAUUGACCUGGAACUGCAGUGCUUCCAGGACCGGUGC
rnacentral:snRNA from 1 species